UACGUAGGGGGCGAGCGUUAUCCGGAUUCACUGGGUGUAAAGGGAGCGUAGACGGCCAUGCAAGCCAGGGGUGAAAGCCCGGGGCCCAACCCCGGGACUGCCCUUGGAACUGCAUGGCUGGAGUGCGGUAGGGGCAGGCGGAAUUCCUGGUGUAGCGGUGAAAUGCGUAGAUAUCAGGAGGAACACCGGCGGCGAAGGCGGCCUGCUGGACCGCGACUGACGUUGAGGCUCGAAAGCGUGGGGAGCGAACAGG
rnacentral:rRNA from 1 species